UUCUGAGGUUGGAGUGGCGCAAGGGUGCGUAACACGUGGGUAAUUUGCCGUGAAGUUGGGGAUAACUCGCUGAAAGGCGAGCUAAUACCGAAUGUGAAAAUUGGAAGGCAUCUUCUGAUUUUUAAAGUUGGGGACCGCAAGGCCUGACGCUUCUCGAUAAGCCCGCGGCCUAUCAGCUAGUUGGUGAGGUAACGGCUCACCAAGGCUAAGACGGGUAGCUGGUCUGAGAGGACGACCAGUCACACUGGAACUGAGACACGGUCCAGACACCUACGGGUGGCAGCAGUCGAGAAUUUUUCUCAAUGGGCGAAAGCCUGAAGGAGCGACGCCGCGUGGGGGAUGAAGGGCUUCGGCUCGUAAACCCCUGUCAUUUGCGAACAAACCUUACGAUUUAACAGAUCGUGAGCUGAUUGUAGCGAAAGAGGAAGGGACGGCUAACUCUGUGCCAGCAGCCGCGGUAAUACAGAGGUCCCAAGCGUUGUUCGGAUUCACUGGGCGUAAAGGGUGCGUAGGUGGCGGGGUAAGUUUGAUGUGAAAUCUCCGGGCUUAA
rnacentral:rRNA from 1 species